rnacentral:rRNA from 1 species
UACGGAGGGUGCUAGCGUUGUUCGGAAUUACUGGGCGUAAAGCGCACGUAGGCGGCUUUGCAAGUUAGAGGUGAAAGCCCGGGGCUCAACUCCGGAAUUGCCUUUAAAACUGCAUCGCUAGAAUUGUGGAGAGGUAAGUGGAAUUCCGAGUGUAGAGGUGAAAUUCGUAGAUAUUCGGAAGAACACCAGUGGCGAAGGCGACUUACUGGACACAUAUUGACGCUGAGGUGCGAAAGCGUGGGGAGCAAACAGG